rnacentral:pre_miRNA from 1 species
UCAAGUUGAUCUGUAACAAUCAACUUGAUCUGCAUGUAGAUUUUAAAGCUGCGGAUCAAGUUGAUUGUUACGGAUCAACUUG